rnacentral:misc_RNA from 1 species
GAAAUGCGAUAAGUAAUGUGAAUUGCAGAAUUCCGUGAAUGAUCGAAUCUUUGAACGCACAUUGCGCCCGCCAGUACUCUGGCGGGCAUGCCUGUUCGAGCGUCAUUUCGACCAUCGAGCCCCCGGGCUCGCGUUGGGGAUCUGCGGCUGUCCGCAGGCCCCUAAAUACAGUGGCGGGCUCGCUAUCACACCGAGUGCAGUAGUUUUCUUUCUCGCUCAGGGCGUGGCUGCGGGCUCCGGCCGUUAAACCUUCUCAAACCCAAAGGUUGACCUCGGAUCAGGUAGGAAUACCCGCUGAACUUAA